UUUAUUAUUAAUAUUUUGCAAUUAAAUUAUUAAUAAUUUAAUUGGGGUGAUAAAAAAAGAAUAAGUAUCUUUUUAAAUUAUAAAAUAAGUUCCGUUUUUAGCGAUUAAAUGAAAAAAAUACUCUAGGGAUAACAGCGUAAUAAUUUUGGAUAGUUCAUAUAGAUAAAAUAGUUUGCGACCUCGAUGUUGGAUUAGGAUUCUUUUUUGGUGAAGAAGUUAAGAAAAGAAGUUUGUUCAACUUUU
rnacentral:rRNA from 1 species